rnacentral:rRNA from 1 species
UUAAAACACCAGUUCCUGUAUGAUCACAAGUUAAGCAACAUUGAGCCUGGUCAGUACCUAGAUGGGUGAGCGCUUGGGAAUACCAGGUGUUGUAAG